CGGGGGGGGCAAGCGUUGUUCGGAAUUACUGGGCGUAAAGGGCUCGUAGCGGCCAACUAAGUCAGACGUGAAAUCCCCAGGCUCAACCUGGGAACUGCGUCUGAUACUGGUUGGCUUGAAUCCGGGAGAGGGAUGCAGAAUUCCAGGUGUAGCGGUGAAAUGCGUAGAUAUCUGGAGGAAUACCGGUGGCGAAGGCGGCAUCCUGGACCGGCAUUGACGCUGAGGAGCGAAAGCUAGGGGAGCAAACGGGAUUAGAUACCCCGGUAGUCCUAGCCCUAAACGAUGAAUGCUUGGUGUGACGGGUAUCGAUCCCUGUCGUGCCGAAGCUAACGCAUUAAGCAUUCCGCCUGGGGAGUACGGUCGCAAGGCUG
rnacentral:rRNA from 1 species